rnacentral:lncRNA from 1 species
GCGUAAAAUGAACCAAAAAAUUAUUUUCGAUAUAAAAAUAUUUUUUCGUUUUUUGAUUUCACAUAAGAAUAUUUUUCUGAAAAAUAUUUUUACAGAUUUGAAAAAAAUUUGAAGUUUCUUUUCUACUGUUUUUUCGGUAGGAAAUGAAAACUCAAGCUGUGCAAAUCUUUUUUAAUUUAUUUUUCUCACUGAAUCAAAUAAAUGUAAUUUUUUUUUUUUCUUUCAAUGAAACAAAUAUUGUGGAAAACUAUCUUUUUUUUUUUCCGACAAACCAAAUACUAUAAAAGGUAAAACUUUUUUUUCACCAAAUUUUUUUACGAAAAACUAUUUUUAAUGAUUUUACGUUGAACCAAACAAACCCUAAAAUAACUAGUUCUUUCUUCUA